rnacentral:lncRNA from 1 species
UGCCUCGGGAAAUGCAUGCAAAACCAACAGGAAAAGAAUGCAUCUAAACGGUCGCGCGUUCAGCGCAACGUUGAAACUUAGGGUACUUUGCUGCCUUGUC